GAUUAUCUCUGUGAACUGAAAAUGAAUUUAAAGUUUGUAUAUUUCCUUAUUGGUUAUACUUUCGUGUUUUUGAUUCCUCUGAUCUAUGUGUAUAUUUAUUGAGUGUGUUAAACUUUUGUUUGUUUAUUAGGUGAAGCUGCAAAAACACAAUACUGAAGCACAUGGGAUCAAGUACAAGAAUAGUUUGCAUUGUACUGCUAGGAUACUAAGGACUGAAGGAAUUAGAGGACUUUAUAGAGGUGCUACAUCAUCUUUUGUGGGGAUGUCUUUUGAGAGUUCCCUCAUUUUUGGCAUUUAUUCCCAGACGAAACAGUUUCUGCAGGAAGCUUUUUUGUGAAAUUUGCAACAACUAUUGAAGCCGACAAGGCCAUUGCAGCUCUAAACAAUCAACAUUUUUUUUCCUGGGGAACAAAUGCCUAUUAGGGUUAAGUAUGCAGGCAAGCCAGACAGAGAAAGAGAACGUCAUGGGGCACUUGAUAAAGUGUUUGUUGCGAUGUUUAACACAGAAGCUUCAAAGGAGGAAAUUAUAGAGGUAUGUUCUUGCCAACCAUGGGAUGUUAAGUUAUUGUUUUUCCACAAAAUAUUCAUUUUUUACUUAUCUGCAUGUAAGUAUUCAUUAUUGAAACAUCCAAAUAUCUUAUGAAAAUUCAUGGAAUAUCAUUUUUUUGUGUAUAUUUAUACUAAUGAGACCACU